rnacentral:rRNA from 1 species
CCUACGGGUGGCUGCAGUGAGGAAUAUUGGUCAAUGGGCGUAAGCCUGAACCAGCCAAGUCGCGUGAAGGAUGAAUGUUCUAUGGAUUGUAAACUUCUUUUAUAAGGGAAUAAAGUGAGGGACGUGUCCCGUUUUGUAUGUACUUUAUGAAUAAGGAUCGGCUAACUCCGUGCCAGCAGCCGCGGUAAUACGGAGGAUCCGAGCGUUAUCCGGAUUUAUUGGGUUUAAAGGGUGCGUAGGCGGGUUGUUAAGUCAGUUGUGAAAGUUUGUGGCUCAACCGUAAAAUUGCAAUUGAAACUGGGAGGCGUGAGUACAGUUGAGGCAGGCGGAAUGCGUGGUGUAGCGGUGAAAUGCUUAGAUAUCACGAAGAACGCCGAUUGCGAAGGCAGCCUACUAAGCUGCCACUGACAGUGAUGCUCGAAAGUGUGGGUAUCAAACAGGAUUAGAUACCCGAGUAGUC